AUCCGGAUGACGAGUCCCAAACAGGACGAAAUACGCAUCAUGGAU
rnacentral:hammerhead_ribozyme from 1 species